UACGUAGGGUGCAAGCGUUGUCCGGAAUUAUUGGGCGUAAAGGGCUCGUAGGCGGUCUGUCACGUCGGGAGUGAAAACUCGGGGCUUAACCCCGAGCCUGCUUCCGAUACGGGCAGACUAGAGGUAUGCAGGGGAGAAUGGAAUUCCUGGUGUAGCGGUGAAAUGCGCAGAUAUCAGGAGGAACACCGGUGGCGAAGGCGGUUCUCUGGGCAUUACCUGACGCUGAGGAGCGAAAGCGUGGGGAGCAAACAGG
rnacentral:rRNA from 1 species